UACGUAGGGGGCAAGCGUUGUCCGGAUUUAUUGGGCGUAAAGAGCGUGUAGGCGGCCGCACAGGUCCGUUGUGAAAACUGGAGGCUUAACCUUCAGACGUCGAUGGAAACCGUGCGGCUAGAGUCCGGAAGAGGAGAGUGGAAUUCCUGGUGUAGCGGUGAAAUGCGCAGAUAUCAGGAAGAACACCCGUGGCGAAGGCGGCUCUCUGGGACGGUACUGACGCUGAGACGCGAAAGCGUGGGGAGCGAACAGG
rnacentral:rRNA from 1 species